UACGAGGGGUGCAAGCGUUGCUCGGAAUUAUUGGGCGUAAAGAGCUCGUAGGCGGCUUGUCGCGUCGGAUGUGAAAGCCCGGGCUUAACUCCGGGUCUGCAUUCGAUACGGGCAGGCUAGAGUUCGGUAGGGGAGAUCGGAAUUCCUGGUGUAGCGGUGAAAUGACGCAGAUAUCAGGAGGAACACCGGUGGCUAAGGCGGCUCUCUAGUACGGUACUGACGCUGAGACGCGAAAGCGUGGGGAGCGAACAGG
rnacentral:rRNA from 1 species